GGAUGAACGCUGGCGGCGUGCCUAAUACAUGCAAGUCGAGCGAACGGACGAGAAGCUUGCUUCUCUGAUGUUAGCGGCGGACGGGUGAGUAACACGUGGAUAACCUACCUAUAAGACUGGGAUAACUUCGGGAAACCGUAGCUAAUACCGGAUAAUAUUUUGAACCGCAUGGUUCAAAAGUGAAAGACGGUCUUGCUGUCACUUAUAGAUGGAUCCGCGCUGCAUUAGAUAGUUGGUAAGGUAACGGCUUACCAAGGCAACGAUGCAUAGCCGACCUGAGAGGGUGAUCGGCCACACUGGAACUGAGACACGGUCCAGACUCCUACGGGAGGCAGCAGUAGGGAAUCUUCCGCAAUGGGCGAAAGCCUGACGGAGCAACGCCGCGUGAGUGAUGAAGGUCUUCGGAUCGUAAAACUCUGUUAUUAGGGAAGAACAUAUGUGUAAGUAACUGUGCACAUCUUGACGGUACCUAAUCAGAAAGCCACGGCUAACUACGUG
rnacentral:rRNA from 1 species